CAGUUGCUCUUGCGGUAGUUCCCCCAACUGUCACCAUGCAGUACGAGGAGGGUAAGACUGUGGACCUCUAUGUCCCCAGGAAGUGAGUUAAUCCCAAGCAGUGCAGACUCUCAAGCAUCAGUGUUGCCUUUUUCUUCUUGUGCCCACAAGGAAAUUCGGAAUUGUGUUCGCCUCAAUUUCUGUACCCAUCUUUGCAGCUCUGUAUUGUCCAACAAAACUUUGAUCAAUGGCGGGAUCAGGUAGAAUAAACCAAAAUAGGACAGUUCCAGACAUUCGUCCCUUUCCUCC